UGAUCCUGGCUCAGGACGAACGCUGGCGGCGUGCCUAAUACAUGCAAGUCGAACGCUUCUUUUUCCACCGGAGCUUGCUCCACCGGAAAAAGAGGAGUGGCGAACGGGUGAGUAACACGUGGGUAACCUGCCCAUCAGAAGGGGAUAACACUUGGAAACAGGUGCUAAUACCGUAUAACAAUCGAAACCGCAUGGUUUUGAUUUGAAAGGCGCUUUCGGGUGUCGCUGAUGGAUGGACCCGCGGUGCAUUAGCUAGUUGGUGAGGUAACGGCUCACCAAGGCCACGAUGCAUAGCCGACCUGAGAGGGUGAUCGGCCACAUUGGGACUGAGACACGGCCCAAACUCCUACGGGAGGCAGCAGUAGGGAAUCUUCGGCAAUGGACGAAAGUCUGACCGAGCAACGCCGCGUGAGUGAAGAAGGUUUUCGGAUCGUAAAACUCUGUUGUUAGAGAAGAACAAGGAUGAGAGUAACUGUUCAUCCCUUGACGGUAUCUAACCAGAAAGCCACGGCUAACUACGUGCCAGCAGCCGCGGUAAUACGUAGGUGGCAAGCGUUGUCCGGAUUUAUUGGGCGUAAAGCGAGCGCAGGCGGUUUCUUAAGUCUGAUGUGAAAGCCCCCGGCUCAACCGGGGAGGGUCAUUGGAAACUGGGAGACUUGAGUGCAGAAGAGGAGAGUGGAAUUCCAUGUGUAGCGGUGAAAUGCGUAGAUAUAUGGAGGAACACCAGUGGCGAAGGCGGCUCUCUGGUCUGUAACUGACG
rnacentral:rRNA from 1 species